UCUUAUUCAGAGUGGUGGAGGUACAUAGGACCUGUGAAGCCACGGCAACCCCCUGAAAUGGAGGAAGGUGCCAACCUGAGCGAGUAAUCGAACAAU
rnacentral:ncRNA from 1 species